rnacentral:rRNA from 1 species
GGUUUGAGCGUCCGGUCCGUCUCCUCUGGAGAUGCGUACUAAGGAUGUUUGGGCCAUUUUUUGUGAGGAUGUUCUUCUGCCAUUAAGUUGGUGGUUGAAUAGACUUGCAUCGUUUACUGUGAAAAAAUUAGAGUGUUUAAAGCAGGCGUUUGCUCAUUGAAUACAUUAGCAUGGAAUAAUAAGAUACGACCUUGGUGGUCUAUUUUGUUGGUUUGCACACCAGGGUA